rnacentral:rRNA from 1 species
AGACGGAGGGGGCGAGCGUUAAUCGGAAUUACUGGGCGUAAAGCGUGCGCAGGUGGUUUUGUAAGUCAGAUGUGAAAUCCCCGGGCUUAACCUGGGAACUGCGUUUGAAACUGCAAGGCUAGAGUGUGGCAGAGGGGGGUGGAAUUCCGCGUGUAGCAGUGAAAUGCGUAGAGAUGUGGAGGAACACCGAUGGCGAAGGCAGCCCCCUGGGUCAACACUGACGCUCAGGCACGAAAGCAUGGGGAGCAAACAGGAUUAGAUACCCCGGUAGUCC